GGGGGUGUAGCUCAGCGGUAGAGCGCGUGCUUCGCAUGUACGAGGCCCCGGGUUCAAUCCCCGGCACCUCCA
rnacentral:tRNA from 2 species